rnacentral:rRNA from 1 species
GACGGAAGGUGCAAGCGUUGCUCGGAAUUACUGGGCGUAAAGGGUGCGUAGGCGGUCCGCUAAGUUGGAUGUGAAAACUCUGGGCUUAACCCAGAGCCUGCAUUCAAAACUGACGGGCUAGGGUUCUGGAGGGGGUAGCGGAAUUCCUGGUGUAGCGGUGAAAUGCGUAGAUAUCAGGAGGAACACCGGUGGCGAAGGCGGUCUGCUGGGCAGUUGCUGACACUGAGGCGCGACAGCGUGGGGAGCAAACAGG